GGUAAAAUGACUGAUAAUAGGUGAUAAACUGUAAAUUUAUUUAUGAGAAUAUUUCUCUUUUACCA
rnacentral:tRNA from 1 species